AUUGAACGCUGGCGGCAUGCCUUACACAUGCAAGUCGAACGGCAGCACGGGAGCAAUCCUGGUGGCGAGUGGCGAACGGGUGAGUAAAGUAUCGGAACGUGCCCAGUCGUGGGGGAUACCGUAGCGAAAUUUACGCUAAUACCGCAUACGACCUAUGGAUGAAAGCGGGGGAUCGCAAGACAUCGCGCGAUUGGAGCGCCCGAUAUCAGAUUAGGUAGUUGGGGGGGUAAAGGCUCACCAAGCCGACGAUCUGUAGCUGGUCUGAGAGGACGACCAGCCACACUGGGACUGAGACACGGCCCAGACUCCUACGGGAGGCAGCAGUGGGGAAUUUUGGACAAUGGGCGAAAGCCUGAUCCAGCCAUGCCGCGUGCAGGAUGAAGGCCUUCGGGUUGUAAACUGCUUUUGUACGGAACGAAAAGGUUUGGGCUAAUAAGCUGAGCUCAUGACGGUACCGUAAGAAUAAGCACCGGCUAACUACGUGCCAGCAGCCGCCGUAA
rnacentral:rRNA from 1 species